CGUACGCAACCUACCCAUAACUGAUGAAUAGCCCUCCGAAAGGAGGAUUAAUACAUCGUAACAUAAUUGAAUGGCAUCAUUUAAUUAUUAUAGCUCCGGCGGUUUUGGAUGGGCGUGCGCCUGAUUAGAUAGUUGGCGGGGUAACGGCCCACCAAGUCUGCGAUCAGUAACUGGUGUGAGAGCACGACCAGUCACACGGGCACUGAGACACGGGCCCG
rnacentral:rRNA from 1 species